rnacentral:rRNA from 1 species
AAACUUAAGAGUUUGAUCCUGGCUCAGAUUGAACGCUGGCGGCAUGCCUUACACAUGCAAGUCGAACGGUANCAGGGAGCUUGCUCCGCUGACGAGUGGCGAACGGGUGAGUAAUACAUCGGAACGUGUCCUGUAGUGGGGGAUAGCCCGGCGAAAGCCGGAUUAAUACCGCAUACGCUGUACGCAGGAAAGGGGGGGAUCUUCGGACCUCUCGCUAUAGGGGCGGCCGAUGGCAGAUUAGCUAGUUGGUGGGGUAAAGGCCUACCAAGGCGACGAUCUGUAGCUGGUCUGAGAGGACGACCAGCCACACUGGGACUGAGACACGGCCCAGACUCCUACGGGAGGCAGCAGUGGGGAAUUUUGGACAAUGGGCGAAAGCCUGAUCCAGCAAUGCCGCGUGUGUGAAGAAGGCCUUCGGGUUGUAAAGCACUUUUGUUCGGGAAGAAAAGGCUCGGGAUAAUACCCUG